GGAUCAUUACAGAGUUGUCCUAACUCCCAAACCCAUGUGAACAUACCGUCUGUUGCCUCGGCAGGUCAAGGCCCGCGUAGCGUGCCAGCACCCUGCCGGCGGCCCACGAAAUACUGUUUUCUUCUUGAAUUCUGAACUUGAAACAAAAAAAAAUAAGUUAAAACUUUCAACAACGGAUCUCUUGGUUCUGGCAUCGAUGAAGAACGCAGCGAAAUGCGAUAAGUAAUGUGAAUUGCAGAAUUCAGUGAAUCAUCGAAUCUUUGAACGCACAUUGCGCCCAUUAGCAUUCUAGUGGGCAUGCCUGUUCGAGCGUCAUUUCAACCCCUUAAGCCUCUGUCGCUUAGUGUUGGGAGCCUACGGCGUGCCGUAGCUCCUUAAAGUUAGUGGCGGAGUCGGUUCACACCCUAGACGUAGUAGGUUUUUACGCAUCGCCUAUGGUUUGGACCCGGCCCCUGCCGUAAAACAAAAAAAACGACACCUAGUGUCUGUCAAGGUUGACCUCGGAUCAGGUAGGAAUACCCGCUGAACUUAAGCAUAUCAAUAAGCGGAGGAAAAGAAACCAACAGGGAUUGCCCUAGUAACGGCGAGUGAAGCGGCAACAGCUCAAAUUUGAAAUCUGGCCCUCGGGUCCGAGUUGUAAUUUGUAGAGGAUGCUUUUGGCGCGGUGCCUUCCGAGUUCCCUGGAACGGGACGCCGGAGAGGGUGAGAGCCCCGUACGGUUGGACACCAAGCCUCUGUAAAGCUCCUUCGACGAGUCGAGUAGUUUGGGAAUGCUGCUCUAAAUGGGAGGUAAAUUUCUUCUAAAGCUAAAUAUUGGCCAGAGACCGAUAGCGCACAAGUAGAGUGAUCGAAAGAUGAAAAGCACUUUGAAAAGAGGGUUAAACAGCACGUGAAAUUGUUGAAAGGGAAGCGUUUGCGAUCAGACCACGGCCCGGCGGAUCAUCUGGUGUUCUCACCAGUGCACUUCGCCGGGCCGAGGCCAGCAUCGGUCUCCGCAGGGGGACAAAAGCUGGGGGAACGUAGCUCCUCCGGGAGUGUUAUAGCCCUCUGCAUAAUACCCUUGUGGGGACCGAGGACCGCG
rnacentral:rRNA from 1 species